CACCUGCUCUCGGGGGCCGCCUCCCCCGAAGCAGCGCCCCACGCAGUCCCUCCCGGCUGCCAAAUGGGCUACUCCUCUCCUCUGAGCCAGAGCUUCUGAAAGAAAACAAAGUUACUGAAAACUCAGACUUUACAGAAAUGCACAAAUUAGAAUGGAAGGAAUCACCAAAGCCCCACCUCCAGAUAAACUUGUACAGACGCCAAUCUGAAAUCCUGCACUCAGCUUCUGGCUCCUCUUUGACUCCAGAGAGAGGCGUUGCCAUUUCCAGGUGGAAGUACCCUUUUUCUCCUGGUUCGGGUGCAACGUGUUCAAGAAAGUCUCGGGUCCUGUUUCUUCUCCCGAUGCCCUGCUGGCUGGGCGGUCUUAGCCCCUCUCCUGGGAGCUCCUGGAUCGUGUGCCGGGCUCCGCUGUUGAGACCCAAGGACAGAGUGGGCUCAUCCCACUAGAACGACCGCAAAGAAGAACACUCCUUCCCUGCAUCGGCGGCUUCGUGUCACAGGUGGGUCCCUCUCUGGCCAGGUUGCCGUGUUCUCCUUCCCAACACCAGCCUCCAAAAGUAAACCGGGGGGUGGGGGGGCAGUGUCUUUGGGAAAAUCUUCUGUGACACCGACGGCGCCCUUUCAGGGGGCUUCAAACGGAAGAGGAGGAGGAGCCCACGCACAUACACGCAGGUGCACCACACGCACGCACACGCAUGCACACAGACGCCAGACUCUUCCAGCCGGAGCUACAGGACUUUGCGGACCUGGGCACGCAGCCCAUCCCUCUGCCCGUCCCUCUUUCCUCGGCCAGCAAGUCCCUGCAGGGCUGCACCUCUGUGGACGACAGUGGCCACCCAAGCCAGGUCCUAGCUCUGUCCUGCGUCCCAGCCUUCUUAUUUUCAGGCUCAUUGCGCCUUCCAGAAGGAACGUCCAUACGCUCCGGCCCUGACGGAACUCUCGGACAUCCAGCCCUUGUUUGAGCCCCGCUCAGGACAGGUGAGGCCCCCGCCACCAGGCAGCACUCCGGGCCUUCCAGCCUUGCAGCCGCUGCGAGCUGCUUCCUUCGAGAGUUUCUGAGCAGGUGUUGUGAAAAUAAUGAUUAUGUGGUUUGGCAGAUUCGAUCUCUGCAGCUAAUUGUUGACACUGAGUUUGUAUUACCCAAUACUUUGGGGUGGGGGACAAAAUAAUGCUAUUUUCUAGCCAGUAAGCCAGCAACUAUGUGUAAAGUCUUCGUCCUCUGGGUGGGGCAUAUGUUUUUCCAAGAAUCAAUUUUAAAAACAGGAUUGGCAGGUGCUGGCCACCUCCAACGAGCUCAAAAUGCAGAUCAAAACAACUGCAGGGCCAGCCUAGUCAGGCACUGACCUGGGCAGCCGUCCCUGAGCCCUGGUGGGGUGUCUAUGUCCGGUGGGCAGUUGAGAUGAAAGAGGGGUCCCCACCCUGCGACAGGCCCUGACCCUCCGACCCGGGACCAGGAGAUGCCCUCCCGGUGACCUGUCUGGGAGCCACCAGCCCCUCUUCUCUGGGCUCCCCUGACUUGCCUGGGGGGGCUUCUCAGAACCCAUGCGUGACCCCCAUCCCAACCCCUGGCAUAGCGGAUGCGUGUCGACUUGGAAGCCUGAGACUCUGGAAUUUGACUGGAGGGGAACUGGCCGAGGCUGGGCGCUGUGCAACCACAGAAACACUGCUGGUCUUUGCUCCUGGAUCUCCGGCAAUUUCUUGGGUGACAAGAGUGUCUGCUGAUAUCGCUGCCCAGCCCUUUCAGGCACACUUGACAGCGUCAGGGAGGGGCCGGUCACCAGAAGGGCCAAGUGGCCAGGGCUGGGAACCCGCUGGGGCGGGAGUGGGGGCUGCAGAUG
rnacentral:lncRNA from 1 species